CGCGUAGGCGGUCGUGUGCGUCAGAGGUGAAAUCCCCGGGCUUAACCCGGGAGCUGCCUCUGAUACGGCAUGGCUUGAGUCCGGGAGAGGGGAGCAGAAUUCCCAGUGUAGCGGUGAAAUGCGUAGAUAUUGGGAGGAAUACCGGUGGCGAAGGCGGCUCCCUGGACCGGUACUGACGCUGAGGCGCGAAAGCGUGGGUAGCAAACA
rnacentral:rRNA from 1 species